CUUACAAAGGGCAACAAGGCAAUGAACUAAGAGCUUCUACACAGUGUUUUGGAAAUUAACUAGGCAAUCAAAUCACGCGCCUUCCUCAAGCCUCUUCCAAUCAUCCUACAAGUGUCCCAGGAAGAGUAUAUUAAGCAAAGGGAAAACUAGCAUCAUCUGAACAGCUUGGAUGUUAAGGGAGCAGGCUCUGAGGAAGUGGACGGCACCAACAAAUCGGCUGCUUUGAAAUUACAGACCAUUUAACCGAGAAAACUUGAAAGACAUAAUCUUUUCUUCUACUGACCUUGCGGUUCCCCCAUAUGAGCCUACCACCAUUGUAUCUGCAGUUACAGAUUUUGGCUGUCACUUCCUCCUAUAUUUUUAACAGAUGGGUUCAUUUGUUAGUAUGCUUUUUCUCAUGCCUGCUUUUAAUUUUCCUCUUUCCCCAUCCUCAAAGCACCAACUUUAUAUGUAAUGCUUCCUCUCUCAGAGACACAUCACCCUCCACAGCCCUGCGGAGGCCAAGGAGUCUGAGACCUCACUCUACCACCAUGAGGAGCGUGUCAGCUGCUCUGCACCACGGAAGAGCUUUCUGUGAAAUACAAAAAAUCCUUCCCAGGGGACAGUGACGUGACAAGAACAGCUCAUUGUUUUGGGUUUAUAUUCACAAAAGGUGAUGAAGUAUGCAACUUAAAUAAGAAGGAUUGGGUACUGCUUUUGGCAUCCUGUGAUACCAUGAAUAGCUGCCACUGAAACCAAGAAUCCUUCAAGUGACAUCCAUUUGCAAACCUGCCUGAGGACACAUGGGUUGAAUUUGCUUUGAAGAGAUGCAACAAAGCACAAAAUUCCAGUCUGCUUUCAAAUAAUCAGCCAUAGUGAUAAGAGUAUUUGGAUCCAAAUAUAAAUUGUCAUCAGUUUUUAGAUGUUUCAUCACUGGCUUGAAGUUAAACCCAUACCACAAUAAAUAAAAAAA